rnacentral:lncRNA from 1 species
GAGUUGGAGGUAGUGUGUGUUUGUAUCACAGGGUUUAUACAUAGAAAUGAGGUGACUGACAAUCUGGGAUAGAUUGAAGAAAUGGAGUUUGGGAUUGGGAAACUCUCUUCUUUUUAGUUAAUUUGAUGUAUAGAAUAAGCUACAUUUGUUUUAAUAAUAUGAGUAUCAUGUAUUAUCUUUUUUAAUUAAAAAUUGGAUAACAGCAUCACUCUAUUACUCUAAUUCUUCGAGUAGCAUAUUUUUUUUAUUAUCUAAUUAAUAUAUUAAUAAAACAAUUUCACAAUAUUGAUUUACCG